CACAAGCGGUGGAUGAUGUGGAUUAAUUCGAUGCAACGCGAAAACCUUACCUACCCUUGACAUGUCCGGAAUCCCGAAGAGAUUUGGGAGUGCUCGCAAGAGAACCGGAACACAGGUGCUGCAUGGCUGUCGUCAGCUCGUGUCGUGAGAUGUUGGGUUAAGUCCCGCAACGAGCGCAACCCUUGUCAUUAGUUGCCAUCAUUUGGUUGGGCACUCUAAUGAGACUGCCGGUGACAAACCGGAGGAAGGUGGGGAUGACGUCAAGUCCUCAUGGCCCUUAUGGGUAGGGCUUCACACGUCAUACAAUGGUCGGUACAGAGGGUUGCCAACCCGCGAGGGGGAGCUAAUCCCACAAAGCCGAUCGUAGUCCGGAUCGCAGUCUGCAACUCGACUGCGUGAAGUCGGAAUCGCUAGUAAUCGUGGAUCAGCAUGUCACGGUGAAUACGUUCCCGGGCCUU
rnacentral:rRNA from 1 species